rnacentral:lncRNA from 1 species
UAAACUAGAAUGUUAGGUAGCAAAUGGGCUCGGUUGUCACCCAUUUGCUUUCGAUGAUGGAGCCUCCAAAUCGAUAAUCGGCACCAUUGAAAAUGAUCUAUAUCACUUGAAGUAUCUAAAAAUCAAAUUUCAUACUUUUUCAAUAUUAUUUUCUUGUCCAUCAAGUAGGCAUAAAAAUGAACGGCUGAAAAUAAAUAUUCUCUAAAAUGUGAUGAUAUAAAUUUUGUAAUUAAAAUCGAGUGUAUAAAUCUUAUUCUAAAUAGUUUAAAGAAUUUUUUAACCGAAAUUCAAUUUAUUUGGAUAGUUUUACACUGUUAAACGAAAAAACGCUUCAUAUCUAUCAUUAAAAUUACAAAUUUGAAACCCUUUGAUCAUUAGGUCAAUAAUGUCGAAAUGAUUUAAAAUUUGAUUUCUAGAUAUUUCAAGUGAUAGAGAUUAUAUUCAACGAUGCCAAUCGUUGAUUUAAAAGCUCCAUCAUCGAAAACAAAUGAAUGACAAUGAAACCUCUCUAAUGCCGAUAGCAUUCCAGCUCAACUCUCUCGCUAUAUAUAUUUAUUUAUGAAGAACCCACCUUCCCUACUAUAGUCCA